UACGGGGGGGGCAAGCGUUGUUCGGAAUUACUGGGCGUAAAGGGCUCGUAGGCGGCCAACUAAGUCGGACGUGAAAUCCCUCGGCUCAACCGGGGAACUGCGUCCGAUACUGGAUGGCUUGAGUUCGGGAGAGGGAUGCGGAAUUCCAGGUGUAGCGGUGAAAUGCGCAGAUAUCAGGAGGAACACCGGUGGCGAAGGCGGUUCUCUGGGAAUAUCCUGACACUGAGGAGCGAAAGCCAGGGGAGCAAACGGG
rnacentral:rRNA from 1 species